rnacentral:rRNA from 5 species
AGAGUUUGAUCCUGGCUCAGGAUGAACGCUGGCGGCGUGCCUAAUACAUGCAAGUCGAGCGAACGGACGAGAAGCUUGCUUCUCUGAUGUUAGCGGCGGACGGGUGAGUAACACGUGGAUAACCUACCUAUAAGACUGGGAUAACUUCGGGAAACCGGAGCUAAUACCGGAUAAUAUUUUGAACCGCAUGGUUCAAAAGUGAAAGACGGUCUUGCUGUCACUUAUAGAUGGAUCCGCGCUGCAUUAGCUAGUUGGUAAGGUAACGGCUUACCAAGGCAACGAUGCAUAGCCGACCUGAGAGGGUGAUCGGCCACACUGGAACUGAGACACGGUCCAGACUCCUACGGGAGGCAGCAGUAGGGAAUCUUCCGCAAUGGGCGAAAGCCUGACGGAGCAACGCCGCGUGAGUGAUGAAGGUCUUCGGAUCGUAAAACUCUGUUAUUAGGGAAGAACAUAUGUGUAAGUAACUGUGCACAUCUUGACGGUACCUAAUCAGAAAGCCACGGCUAACUACGUGCCAGCAGCCGCGGUAAUACGUAGGUGGCAAGCGUUAUCCGGAAUUAUUGGGCGUAAAGCGCGCGUAGGCGGUUUUUUAAGUCUGAUGUGAAAGCCCACGGCUCAACCGUGGAGGGUCAUUGGAAACUGGAAAACUUGAGUGCAGAAGAGGAAAGUGGAAUUCCAUGUGUAGCGGUGAAAUGCGCAGAGAUAUGGAGGAACACCAGUGGCGAAGGCGACUUUCUGGUCUGUAACUGACGCUGAUGUGCGAAAGCGUGGGGAUCAAACAGGAUUAGAUACCCUGGUAGUCCACGCCGUAAACGAUGAGUGCUAAGUGUUAGGGGGUUUCCGCCCCUUAGUGCUGCAGCUAACGCAUUAAGCACUCCGCCUGGGGAGUACGACUGCAAGGUUGAAACUCAAAGGAAUUGACGGGGACCCGCACAAGCGGUGGAGCAUGUGGUUUAAUUCGAAGCAACGCGAAGAACCUUACCAAAUCUUGACAUCCUUUGACAACUCUAGAGAUAGAGCCUUCCCCUUCGGGGGACAAAGUGACAGGUGGUGCAUGGUUGUCGUCAGCUCGUGUCGUGAGAUGUUGGGUUAAGUCCCGCAACGAGCGCAACCCUUAAGCUUAGUUGCCAUCAUUAAGUUGGGCACUCUAAGUUGACUGCCGGUGACAAACCGGAGGAAGGUGGGGAUGACGUCAAAUCAUCAUGCCCCUUAUGAUUUGGGCUACACACGUGCUACAAUGGACAAUACAAAGGGCAGCGAAACCGCGAGGUCAAGCAAAUCCCAUAAAGUUGUUCUCAGUUCGGAUUGUAGUCUGCAACUCGACUACAUGAAGCUGGAAUCGCUAGUAAUCGUAGAUCAGCAUGCUACGGUGAAUACGUUCCCGGGUCUUGUACACACCGCCCGUCACACCACGAGAGUUUGUAACACCCGAAGCCGGUGGAGUAACCUUUUAGGAGCUAGCCGUCGAAGGUGGGACAAAUGAUUGGGGUGAAGUCGUAACAAGGUAGCCGUAUCGGAAGGUGCGGCUGGAUCACCU